ensembl:lncRNA
CAUUUGUCAGAGAGAGAAUACUCCUCCAUGGACGUUACAUGUUUAUAGAACCUGAAAAAAACAGCAGGCAGGUCUUAAGAGAUGGAAUACACAAAGAAAUGACUCUUGAGAAUCCCUUGGACUGCAAAGAGAUCCAACCAGUCAAUCCCAAAGUCAGUCCUGAAUAUGCAUUGGAAGGACUGAUGCUGAAGCUGAAACUCCAAUCCUUUGGCCACCUGAUGUGAAGAACUGACUCAUUGGCAGAGACUCCGAUGCUGAAAGAGUGAAGGCCGGAGUAGAAGGGGACGACAGAGGAUGAGAUGGCUGGAUGGCAUCACCGACUCGAUGGACAUGAAUUUGAGUAAGCUCUGGGAGUUGGUGAUGGACAGGGAGGCCUGGCAUGCUGCUGUCCAUGGGGUCGCAAAGAGUUGGACACGACUGAGCAACUGAACUGAAGAUUCCUAUUAUUCAUAUGCAGGAGACCCAGUUUGAUUCCUGGAUCCCGAAGAUUCCCUGGAGAAGGGAUAGGCUACCCAUUCCAGUAUUCUUCCCUGGAGAAUUCCAUGAACCGAGGAGCCUGGCAAGUGCAGAGGGUCACAAAGAGUCGGACAUGGCUGAGCAGCUAAGCACAGCACCAUAGGCUGCUCCUUUUAUCCAGUGAGCAUCUUGCUAGGUUUCUCACGUACUGCCUUCAGCAGGAGCCUGGUGCCCUCCUGUAGUUUAUUAUCCAGAAUGGACCCCUUUGAGCAAACACUGUACAACCUUAGAAUCAAGCAGAUAGAGAGCACACUUUGAGAAAGACUGUACUGCGUCUCCCAGUAAAAGUCAUCCCUGAUGGAAGAAGUGUUCUCUCCUCCCAUGGGGUGCAGAGUCUGGAGGUGAUAUCAGAAGUGCUCGGGCGUCCAGCACGGAUGCUGCAGGGCAGUUCAUCCCCGGCAUCUUCCCGCUCCCGCAGCCCUGCAGGGGAGACCACGGAGGCCCCAGUGUGCUGGAGAACAGAGCAAGUAUCAAAGAACCCAGUCCCUUGCAGAACCAGGCAUGCUCCCAUCUCCACCCAAGUUUAACGUGUUGUCCAGUCAGUAACAGCCCCCUUCCUUGCAGAAGUGUUGCCUAGGACUGUCCCCCACCCUAAAUCUUGCUCAUAAUUAAGUUCAAGAACAGAAUUAGACAAUAGUCAGACUACAAAGCAGGCAGCAGUGGGCAGGGGGCAGGAGCACAGACUUUGGAGUCAGACCUGGGAUCGACACAAUUCACUAGUCAUGUGAUUGUGGACAAGCUUUUGAACUACAGUGAGGAUCAGUUUCUUCUGCAAAAACGGGAAUAAUCCCUGCUUCGCCAGACUGUGGUGAGAAUUGAAGAGCACAACUUGAUGUUUGCAUUUUAUUUCCUUCUUGUCCCUAGAACAGCAUGUAAUGUUAUUUCCAGGAGGCAGAAAAAGCAUAAGACUUUAUCUAGAGUCCUGAAUAAUUGAUAAAAAUUUUGCGUCUCUUCUUUUUUUUGGUUAUGGUAUCAGAGGAAGUACAGUCAUAUUUUCUCAGCUUCAAACAACCACAUAGGACAGUACAAUUAGGAAAUGGAGAAUCUCAUUUGAACACUGUUUGGAAUCUUAUUUACAGGCAGAAUUCGAAAACAGGACAAAAGAAAACUCCAUUCUUGUAUUGGAGGAUCAUCUACUUAAUGCAGUUACAGAACACUAACAUUUUUUCUGGCACAUUAGAGAUAGAUAAGAUUGGCACUUAUCGGGGUCUUAUUUGAAUGAUCUGAACACUCACCUGUGGCUACAGAGGAGGAGCCUGUGCUUUUCCUGCCUAGGACACUUGGAAGAGUUGCACACCUGGCUCAG